rnacentral:rRNA from 1 species
CACGUAGGGUGCGAGCGUUGUCCGGAAUUAUUGGGCGUAAAGAGCUCGUAGGCGGUGUGUCGCGUCGGCCGUGAAAACCUGCAGCUUAACUGUGGGCUUGCGGUCGAUACGGGCAUCACUGGGGUUCGGCAGGGGAGACUGGAAUUCCUGGUGUAGCGGUGAAAUGCGCAGAUAUCAGGAGGAACACCGGUGGCGAAGGCGGGUCUCGUGGGCCGAUGACUGACGCUGAGGUGCGAAAGCGUGGGGAGCAAACAGG